ACAGAUCGUUCAGAGUUUGAUCCUGGCUCAGGACGAACGCUGGCGGCGUGCCUAACACAUGCAAGUCGAACGGAGUAAGACGCUGAUUUGAGAGUAGCUUGCUACAGGAUUUUCUUGUUUUACUUAGUGGCGGACGGGUGAGUAACGCGUGAGCAACCUGCCUUUGAGAGGGGAAUAACGUUCUGAAAAGAACGCUAAUACCGCAUAACGUAUAGUUGUCGCAUGGCAGCAAUACCAAAGAUUUAUCGCUCAAAGAUGGGCUCGCGUCCGAUUAGGUAGUUGGUGAGGUAACGGCUCACCAAGCCGACGAUCGGUAGCCGGACUGAGAGGUUGAACGGCCACAUUGGGACUGAGACACGGCCCAG
rnacentral:rRNA from 1 species